AAGCCUUGGUUCUCCUUCAUUCACACGAAAAAAUCUUUCGCCUUUUACUAAAGAUUUCCGUGGAGGAGAACAACACAAUGGGCCUAAGGGUAUUUUUUGUCGCCCGCCGGAUUUUCCAAAGGCGGGU
rnacentral:snRNA from 1 species